AAGGACCCAGAUGAACAGUACUGCUCUGGGAGAGUGGAGGUGGAGUGUAAAAGAGUGCUACUGGAUACAGCAUCCUGGGAGGAACAGCUUCACAAGAAAUGUUACAGACUUCUUAGAGAUUACUAGAUUGCAUUGAGGUGCAGAAGAGGGCAUUGUGAAGAGGCUGAGUGAAGAUAUAUUUAUUUCAGUGACUGUGUAAAGCAUGGUCAGCACAUCAUCUCUCAAAUGUGAAAUCACCACAGGUCUAACACUUCUGCUGGUUGGUUGCAGCAUUAUGUGUAGCUCUGUCCAUCCACACAUGUUUAAUGACAUUAAAGACAGCCCCGUCCAUUUUCCAUCUCAUUUUUCUCCUCUAAAUUGUCUUUCCAUCUCCAGUGUCUAAUUCCAACAGUUUUAUAUGUGCUAAUAUUGACAGAUGUAUAUAUUUUUUAUUUUCCCCCAGAAAUCAGUUAUUAAAACCUAUUCUGCUGUGUUGUUAGAAGGCGAGUUAUUGUAAGAAGCAAAGGGUUACACUUAGGAAUUAAGUUAAACUAGACCAUAAUAGCUUUAGUUCAUGUUUCUGCAAUUGCAUUAAGCAGUUUUUCUGCUUUGUUUCUUUGCAGGAUGUGGUUUGUAGAGCAGAUGUUCCUGGACCUCACACAAGUUAUCCUGGAUCAAACCCUAUUUUCACAGUGACGUAACAUUGAAGACAGCCUGGCAUGGGCGGAUGUACCAGGGUGGCAUAGGGUGGCUGCCACCCUAAAAGACAACCUUGUCACCCCUGCUGCCACCCCAGUUGGCAGCAACGAUUUAAAAGAAAAGUUAUUAUGGCCAAUUUGACAUUUAAGAGAGCGGAACUGUUGCCUGACUGCAGUGAACGGAGCACGAAAUUAAGUCAGCCAAGAAACAGAGCCAAAAGCACAGAGGAGAGUGGGGAAGAGGUAGUAUAAAGUAUGUUUUUUAACCCUGGUCUCUGCAUUAAAAUUGUGUGUUUCCACCGGUUUUCCACUGAUCAGCUAAUAAACAAUCCUUUACUGAGUUUACCUGUUAAAAUCCAUUAGCCCCCUACGGACCAUAAAUCAACCAUUUUCCAGCAGUGUUUUUUUUUUUUUUUUUUUAACAGCAAUUGUAUACGUUUUGAGCAACUAUACAGCAGCUUAUUCAAUAAUGUGAUAGUGUUUAAGCAAGUUUGAGAAAUGUUUAAAAUAGAGCUGGGCGAUUAAUCAAUUUUAUCGAUUAAUUUGAAUUUACAGUUAAGGACGAUGUGUUUUUAUGAAAAUCGAUUUUCUCUGUUUAAAUCUGUUUAGUAUCUUGCUUACAUACCUGGUUGGUCUGGGGGGAUUUUAUGUCAGUGUAGUUUAAUCUGAUUUAUAUAUAUAUCUGGUAUCCAAAUACCUGGAUGUUGUGGCAGGUAUUUCAUGUCAGUGUAGUUUAAUCUGAUUUAUAUAUAUCUGGUAUCCAAAUACCUGGAUGUUGUGGCGGGUAUUUCAUGUUAGUGUAGUUUAAUCUGAUUCAUAUUUAUCUGGUAUCCAAAUACCUGGUUGGUCUGGUGUGUAUUUCAUGUGCAGGAUAUGUAUCUUAUAUCCUUUUCAUGUUCAUGCACUCUUUAGUGCUAAUAACUUUAUUCAUAUACCUCAAUAGCCUGUGUUACUCUUUAUACUGGUCCUGAUAUUCAGGGUACAUUUACUCUGUUAGUUGUAAAAUCUGUGUAUUUUGUUUAAAACUGUGAUUUUGUAGUAAUCUAUAUUUAUUUACUAUGAUUUUUCCCCAAAUAAGUCAGAAAUCUUGUUAUUGUUGAAUUUCUUUUGGGUUUUCAUUGGCUGUAAGCUUCAUAAUCAUCAACAAUAAAAUAAAUAAAUGCUUAAAAUAGA